rnacentral:tRNA from 1 species
GGGCUAUUAGCUCAGUUGGUUAGAGCGCACCCUUGAUAAGGGUGAGGUCCCUAGUUCAAACCUAGGAUGGCCCA